rnacentral:rRNA from 1 species
GACGAACGCUGGCGGCGUGCUUAACACAUGCAAGUCGAACGGAAAGGCCCUGCUUUUGUGGGGUGCUCGAGUGGCGAACGGGUGAGUAACACGUGAGUAACCUGCCCUUGACUUUGGGAUAACUUCAGGAAACUGGGGCUAAUACCGGAUAGGAGCUCCUGCUGCAUGGUGGGGGUUGGAAAGUUUCGGCGGUUGGGGAGGGACUCGCGGCUUAUCAGCUUGUUGGUGGGGUAGUGGCUUACCAAGGCUUGGACGGGUAGCCGGCCUGAGAGGGUGACCGGCCACAUUGGGACUGAGAUACGGCCCAGACUCCUACGGGAGGCAGCAGUGGGGAAUAUUGCACAAUGGGCGGAAGCCUGAUGCAGCAACGCCGCGUGCGGGAUGACGGCCUUCGGGUUGUAAACCGCUUUCGCCUGUGACGAAGCGUGAGUGACGGUAAUGGGUAAAGAAGCACCGGCUAACUACGUGCCAGCAGCCGCCGUAAUAC